rnacentral:rRNA from 1 species
UACGAAGGGUGCGAGCGUUGUUCGGAAUUAUUGGGCGUAAAGCGCACGUAGGCGGCCUUGUAAGUCUCACUGUGAAAGUCCGGGGCUCAACCCCGGGAUGCCAGGGGAUACUGCGAGGCUGGAGACAAGCAGAGGUUGGUAGAAUUCCGGGUGUAGCGGUGGAAUGCGUAGAGAUCCGGAGGAAUACCAGAGGCGAAGGCGGCCAACUGGGCUUGUUCUGACGCUGAGGUGCGAAAGCGUGGGGAGCGAACAGG